UCUACCCUGUGGCUCUUCACGGUGUGACUUCUGCGCCCAGCCAAGGGAGGGCGGCCCUUUCUUCCUUUCCUGCGAUCAAAGUAGGAUUCCACCCAGUUCCACAAGGCGCCCAACGCGGUCGGGAUGGAACGGGAGACCGCUCCCCUGCUCGGAAACACUCCAGGACCACGGCAAGGCACCACCCGGGGAUGAACACGGUUCGGCCCUUCCUCCCGAGGCCAAGAGAUCCAGUCUCACGCAGCAGGACAGGGCGGCGCUGCUCCCCGGAGGCCGCCGAGCGCAGACCCCGCGUCGCGUCCCCGGGGGAAAGGGGCACUCGGACCCCCGAGAUGCAGAGACUGAGGCCACACAUGUCCUUCAUGCUCAGGAGUGGCAGCCCUGGAGCGUCGCUUGUCCUUGUCCAGGUAGUCGCUAGGAGUCCUGGAAGGCCAUGUGAAGACCAACGGGAUGCGAUAUCUUAUCCAGGGUCUCCAGGGCCCCUGGUCCUCCUGCCUGCAUGGGCACUAAGGAAACUAACCUUGCUGACAGCCAAAGCAGGUAGUAGCUCAGGCCAAGUGUCGGAACACCCAAUGUCUACACUGGUCGCAGCGCCCUGCAGACUGGCUGCCACUAGAUCUAACACAGAAGAGCAAGGGACAAACAAGGUAGGGACUGGGCUGCCCAUAGUGCUUACGGCAGCCUCUGAGGAGCUGGCCUUCAGCCAGGGUGUGGGGAGGGAGAGGAGACCCAGCCCUGGAUCUGAACCGUGCAACCCUCCCAGCCCAAGUAGAGGGUGCAAAGGCUUGGUCUUCCGAAUUCCCCAGAGGGAGGCUGGCUGGCAGCACCCCUGGCCUCCUCACCCAGCCCUUCCUGCUGUGAGGAGCCUCAACCAAGUGCCUUGAUGUGCCCUUUCCAGUCCUGGGCCCUGUGUGUUAUGAGGCCGAAGCAGGGCUGCCUCCAUGGAGCCCCGGCCAGGCCCAGGGCCCGGCCCACACCCCUCCACAACUUGUCCCGCUGGCAGGGCUCUCUCACUGGGCUCUGGGGGUUGUGCCUCUGGGCCCGCCUCAGGCUCACCUCCACCAGGCUGGAUCUCCUUAUCUCUGGCCUGAGUGCACAGCAAGCAGUCACAAAAAGCCCAGGGGCUGCAGAGGCCUGGGCACCUUCAGCAGUGCUGGUUCUGCAGGUCUGAGACAGCUGGACAUUUUCAGGGACCCUAGGGCGCAUUGGUGGUACCAGCCACGAGAGAGGGACAUCCAGGUACUCCCCCAGGUGACCAAGUGGGGACUUCCUCAGGACUGGAGCACAAGUUCCCUUCCUUUCAAGGAAAAUGAAAAACAUUAGGCCAGCAGCUGGGUGUGGUGACCCAUGCCUGUAAUCCUAUUCAGGAGGCUGAGACAGAAGGAUUACAGAGAGUUGGAGCCCAGCCUGGGCUACAUGGUGAGUUCAAGUCCAGCCUGAACUACAUAGCAAGACUUUGUCCCAAAAAAACCAAAAACAAAAAGUAGAGGCCGAAGGUAACAUAUUAAUCUCAUGUCUCAAUAAAUUCAGUAUUAAAAUACUUAUAGAAGUUUUUCUUUUCCUGAUGUACACAUUUUUGGCUCUCUAUCCAGCUACUUGGGAAGCUGAGGCAGGAGGAUCACCAGCUCUGGCCAGCCUGAGCAAUUCAGGGAGAUCCAUCUCCAAAAAAAAGAGGGUGGGGAUUUAGUACCAAGGCC